GAUCCGGUAGUUCAAAGGAUAGAACCGGCGACUUCUACCCGUCACAUGCAGGUUCGAUUCCUGCCCGGAUCA
rnacentral:tRNA from 1 species